rnacentral:rRNA from 1 species
CCUACGGGGGGCAGCAGUGGGGAAUAUUGGACAAUGGGGGGAACCCUGAUCCAGCGACGCCGCGUGAGUGAAGAAGUAUUUCGGUAUGUAAAGCUCUAUCAGCAGGGAAGAAAGAAAUGACGGUACCUGACUAAGAAGCCCCGGCUAACUACGUGCCAGCAGCCGCGGUAAUACGUAGGGGGCAAGCGUUAUCCGGAUUUACUGGGUGUAAAGGGGGCGUAGACGGCGAUGCAAGUCUGAAGUGAAAGGCGGGGGCCCAACCUCCGGACUGCUUUGGAAACUGUAUGGCUGGAGUGCAGGAGAGGUAAGUGGAAUUCCUAGUGUAGCGGUGAAAUGCGUAGAUAGUAGGAGGAACACCAGUGGCGAAGGCGGCUUACUGGACUGUAACUGACGUUGAGGCUCGAAAGCGUGGGGAGCAAACAGGAUUAGAUACCCUAGUAGUC